rnacentral:lncRNA from 1 species
AUUUUGCAGAAGUUGUUGAGACGGAGAAGAAAAGGCACUGAACAGGUUACAUGUCCAGAUCUUUGGAUAUAAUCUAUUGGAGAAAGGAUCUGGGUCUGAUGCAUGGUUCUUACCCUAGCAGCCAGCCCAAGAAGAUAAUGGAGCAAUAUGUCAUGAACGGAGGGAUGGGUGGAUGAAGAGAACCGCGGCCCAACAUGUCUCUCUAGGAGAAAAAUAAAUCAAAGGGAGAAUUCUUGCUUGCAAAAAAUGAGCGGAGGAUAGGGAGAGAGAAAAAGACAGUGAGAGAGGGAAAAGAGACAAGACAGAGAAAUAGCCAAUAAAGCAGACACACACAAAAAAGGGAGAGAUGAGAGGAGAAAGAAACGGGACGGGACAAGGAGACAAGAGGCAGAAAGGCAGGGGACAGGAACAGGAAUGGGACUCAGAGAGGACCUGGGAGAAUGCGGGAGGAAGCUGGCGACAGAGGGAAGGGAAGGACCCAACAGCCAAAGUCAGGACUCAAGAGCGCUACUGUGGGGAAAGGCAGUGGAAAUGAGAUGGGCCCCGCUGCCCGCGCCCGCUUGCUCUCGGUCUUGGUCUUGGCCGACCUGAGGGCGCUUCUCUCCCAGGCUGUCAGGCGGCGCGCAGGGAGGAGGUGCAGACGCGGCCGCCACCGCCAAGCGCCCAGCG